CUGGAGUGUAUAGAGAUUGAAAUUUUGCCCUGCCUUGACAGGGAACAUGAAUUUUGUUUUGAAUUCAAUUAGGAAUCUUCCCAUUGCCAUGAAAAUUUGAUUUCAUUUCAGGAUCCUAGCUAUUUAUACAAUGGGAACAAUGAAACUGGUGGUGCACUGGUACCAGCACAGGUCAUUGAUGAUGCAUUUCUUGGGAGGUAUCAUAAUUCUGCCGGAGCUGUAGUUUUCCUCAGUAUCAUCUGGGAAUCUUUCUUCGUUUGUGGACUUUCAGUGACCAAUAGUGCUGGCAGAGUUGUUUAUGCUUUACCAAGAGACAAUGGAAUCCCAUUUUCACCUGUGUGGAGAAAAAUACACCCCAAAUACAAGGUUCCCAGAAAUGCGGUGUGGCUCUGUACAGCCAUCGGCAUUAUUCUUGGACUACCAUCUUGAAGCUUGAUGUAAUUUUCACAGCCAUCAUAUCAAUAAGUACAAUUGGAUGGGUUGGAGGGUAUGCUGUACCAAUACUGGCAAGGCUGUUGAUGGAUGAGAAGAACUUCAAACCUGGACCCUUUUAUUUGGGUAGAGCAAGGAGGCCAAUUUGCUUGGUAGCCUUCCUGUGGAUAUGUUAUACCUGUUCAGCUUUCCUAUUGCCAACAAUCUACCCUAUCCGAUGGAAAACUUUCAACUAUGCACCAGUUGCACUUGGGGUAUGUUUGAGCCUGAUAAUGCUUUGGUGGGUCUUGGAUGCAAGGAAAUGGUUCAAG
rnacentral:misc_RNA from 1 species